UGUCAUCCCGUGGAAGACGGUUGGGUUUCUUUUUUUCUCCCCCCAAAUCAAUCGUCUCCUCCCAUGAACUCCUCUUUUCUCCCCCCGACCUGUACCAGGCAGAGGAGAGGCGAGCUAGGGUUUCGCCCGCCGCUGAACUCCGGCGAUCGGCUGGCGGAAUCCAGCGCCGCCUCACUUGGGCAAAGUUUCCACGCUCCUAUCCCCUCCCUGGAGCUCCACAGCCCAUCCCGGCCUCCUCACCCACGACGCGUCGACCCAGCACCGAUUGAUCGCGUCGCUGCACCGAUUGACCGCGCCGCCGCGCCGCUGCUUCGAUAGAAAGUGCUGCCGCCAGUAGGCCCUCACAAAUGUUCCAAUGAUGUCCAUCCUGCAGCAACGCGUUCCGCUCGUGACCGCCACCGUCGCCGCCAUCAGGCCGCCAACCGUCUGUACGGUCCCUGAUCUCCAUCUUACUUAUGCUCUUUCUAAUGUUGUAGCGCCAGUACCUCGAAAAAUUCAUGGUUGUUGUACCUUACAAGUGAGUCGACAAUUGAUUAGUGUUGAUUAAGCCUGAGGUACUUUCCAACCUUAUUCAUAUUAUUUCAGCCUACCACAUUCUUGCUUGUAAUUGUUUUUCCGAGAAAGAUUCCUGCUUCUAAUUAGCUGGCUGAACCUACAUGUGUGUAUUGCUGUAUGCAUAUGGUAGCCAAAAAAGGUGCAUAUACUAAUACACUCCACACACGCAGAACAUCCUUGUACAAGGAGUCACAGACGUUGCAUUUGUUGCAGAACUGAAGAAUAGGUUCAGAGGUAUGACAAGCCCGUCAGAUUAUCAAUGAAGCUAGAUAAUGAGCACGAACAGGUAAAGAUCUCUUAAUCUUUUCUUGAUCAGGUUACCUAAGAUGCCAAUCACAUCAUAUUGAUACUAGGCGUUCUAAUAUGUUGAAGUGCCCCUGUUUUCUUGCAUUGGUUAAAGCUCUGCCAACUGUUUAUAAUUAUGUCAUACCUCUUAUAACCACAGAUAAAAAAAAGGUGUCCUUUCCAGAAUGGUAAUAGUUGUCAAGGGAAUGCAAAGUGUUCUUUCACGGAUGUGGUCAAGUCUUGAGGGAAAUCAAGUAAAAAUCACAAACUAGCCCGCAAAGAAGGUGGUAUAGUAAUAUGCAAUGUGUAGUAAUCAGAUGGAUCAUAAGCGAAGGAGUAUUAGCAACGUCGCUCUGAAACUGUCAGCAUGUUAAGGAUGUUGCCGCAUUAUUAUGAACUGCCAAGGUUAUCAGAUAACCUCAUUAAUGAUCUGCUUUAGAGCGGAGGUUCUUACAAUAGAAAUGUUGUAUUUGGUAAAAGUAGUGGCAAUUGCUGCAGCGGGUGUUCUUAAAGGUGUUCUUAAAGAUCUGCAAGGAUCCUUAGAGCAUGUCAAUGUUCCAGUGAAGUUAACUAUCGUAGGAGUUUUAAAUUUAUGUAACUCAUCUUCAACCUUGGCUUUGAAGUGACAUGUCACGUAUAAUAAGCUUUGUACUAUGUUUUCAUUGAAUUUUAUGAGACCUUGCCUA